rfam:Picea glauca, whole genome shotgun sequence.
GGGUGCAAUCAUACCAACGUUAAUGCAUCAGAUCCCAUCAGAACUCCGCAAUUAAGCACGCUU